rnacentral:rRNA from 1 species
AGACAGAGGGUGCAAACGUUGCUCGGAAUCACUGGGCGUAAAGCGGGUGUAGGCGGGUCGGCAAGUCUGGUGUGAAAGCCCUGGGCUCAACCCAGGAAUUGCAUCGGAAACUGCCGGUCUUGAGUGCCGGAGAGGGAGGCGGAAUUCCCGGUGUAGAGGUGAAAUUCGUAGAUAUCGGGAGGAACACCAGAGGCGAAGGCGGCUUCCUGGACGGCUACUGACGCUGAGACCCGAAAGCGUGGGGAGCAAACAGGAUUAGAUACCCUAGUAGUCC